GAAUAAAAUACAAUAAAUAAUUCAAUUCCAAAUUUUCACAAAUGGUCGUUUCCGUUUUCUCCCCCCACUCACCUGAAACUAAAUAGCUGCAGAAAAAACAUCUGUUUCACCCCGGAACGUCCAGAAAAAAAUUGGUGGGGAGAAUCCGAAUUUGGAUAACCAGCUGAUUAAAAUUAUUAUCAUUAAGUAGAUAUAUUCAAUUUGCCCUUUUUUCGAAGAAAUUAAUUAAUUCAUGUUUUCAAAUAGGUUUUUAAUUUCUAUGUACCUAUUGUACAAUAAGUAGAUACCUAUGAUACAAUAAAUUUGCAGAGUUUCAGGAUUCGUGCCCGAAUAUUUUUCAGUGGUAGUGUUUCAAUUUUCGGAAACUGGAUCUGGAAAGAUUACAAACGAAGACAAAAGAGGAAAGAAGAGUAUCUUAGGUAAUCCGGUUCGUUUGAAUGGAAUUGAUUUACCUAUAAGUAUGCGAAUUUUGGAUAAUCUCUCUCAAAAAAGAUCAACUGCUGACUGAGGAGAUUGUGUGAUGAAACUAGAUAUACCUAGCUAUCGUUUAUAUUCUGCUUCCGUUCAGCCAACGCUCUUUGCUGGUCAUCGAUUCACUCGCCUAGCUGUAUCCUGGGCAGUUUUUUCUAAAGUAAGAACGUCGUUCUGCUGUUAAGGCAAGAAAACAUCCACAAACAUGGAUUACAAAGUAAACCAAAGCUAGAAAUACUCACCUAGGCCUACUACGACCGCCGGUAUUUCGAUUCAGCUUACCGGCACCGGAGGAAACUAACCAUUCACUGCAUUAGCCAGCUCUAGUAUUAGAUCAACAGAAACUUACCUACGAUAACCGAACAUUUUCUGCAAACAGAACAGUGAAGAAAGUCGUGUGCAAGUCGUUUCGCUGCAGCUGGGUCAACGUAUUCAGUAAUUUACUUUUAUUCAAGUUCAGUAAUCACAGAUGUUCUCAUAGAAUUCAAAAUUAGAAAGUUGUGAUGUUGACUAUACUGAAAAUGCGGAGCUGGAGAUGAUAAUUUUUACUCUUUUUUUUUGUGAAUUUUAGUUGUAACCUAAUGGUUAAUCAUUAAUCAACUUACUGUUGUGCUUAUACCUACUUUAUGGCGAUGUUUAUAGUAAAUCGUUGUUACUCUAUGAUCGUAAUACUUUGUAACGUGUCAUGGAACCUGCAGUAUAUUUUUUCUUUUUAUAGGUAAUUGUAAUUACCUGUAUCGAUGAUCACCUUUUUAAAAUCCGAUCUU